ACCUGGUUGAUCCUGCCAGUAGUCAUAUGCUUGUCUCAAAGACUAAGCCAUGCAUGUGUUAGUAUAAAAGUUAUACUUGAAACUGCGAAUGGCUCAUUAAAACAGUUAUAGUUUAUUUGGUAAUCGAAUCUACAUGGAUAACCGUGGUAAUUCUAGAGCUAAUACAUGCAGUUCGCCCGACUUCAUGGAAGGGCCGUAUUUAUUAGAUAACAGACCAAUAUUCCUCGUGUCUAUUGGGUGAAUCAUAGUAACUAAUCGGAUCGCGGGCUCGCCCCGCGACAGACCAUUCAAGUUUCUGCCCCAUCAGCUUUCGAUGGUAGUGUAUUGGACUACCAUGGCUUUUACGGGUAACGGAGGAUUAGGGUUCGAUUCCGGAGAGGGAGCCUGAGAAACGGCUACCACAUCUAAGGGAGGCAGCAGGCGCGUAAAUUACCCAAUGCUAAUUCAGCGAGGUAGUGACAAGAAAUAACGGGUCGGGGCAUAUACCCUGGGACUGAAAUGAAGUGAAUUUACACCCCUUGGUAGAGCAACAAUUGGAGGGCAAGUCUGGUGCCAGCAGCCGCGGUAAUUCCAGCUCCAAUAGCGUAUAUUAAAGUUGUUGCAGUUAAAAAGCUCGUAGUUGGAUUUCUGGUGGCGAGAUACCAUACGCCCGCGCGUUUUUGGUAGCUCUCCACCAUCCUUCUGUUAACCUAGAUUAGACUUUACUGGCUGUUUAGGAGCCCAGAUAUUUUACCUUGAGAAAAUUAGAGUGUUUCAGGCAGGCUUGCGCCCGGAUACAUUAGCAUGGAAUAAUGGAAUAG
rnacentral:rRNA from 1 species